rnacentral:rRNA from 1 species
AGCAAUACCUGAGUAAAGUGGCGUACGGGUGAGUAACACGUGGAUAAUCUACCUCUUGGCGGGGAAUACCUCUGGGAAACCGGAGACAAUACCGCAUAAGCUCGAGAGAGGAAACCCGCAAGGGGCCGAGAGAGGAGUCCGCGGCCGAUUAGCUAGUUGGUGAGGUAAAGGCUCACCAAGGCGAAGAUCGGUAGCCGGCCUGAGAGGGCACACGGCCACACUGGCACUGAGACACGGGCCAG